AUACGUAGGGGGCGAGCGUUGUCCGGAAUCACUGGGCGUAAAGGGCACGCAGGCGGACCGACAGGUCGUUUGUGAAAGGCGAGGGCUUAACCCUUGUUUGCGGACGAAACCGUUGGACUGGAGUACCGGAGAGGGAAGUGGAAUUCCCGGUGUAGCGAUGAAAUGCGUAGAUAUCGGGAGGAACACCAGUGGCGAAGGCGGCUUCCUGGCCGGAUACUGAUGCUCAAGUGCGAAAGCUGGGGGAGCGAACGGGAUGAGAUACCCCGGUAGUCCCAGCCGGAAACGAUGAAUGCUAGGUGUGGGUGCCGUCGGGCAUCCGUGCCGGAGUUAACGCGAUAAGCAUUCCGCCUGGGGAGUACGGUCGCAAGACUGAA
rnacentral:rRNA from 1 species